rnacentral:lncRNA from 1 species
CAACUUACCAUUAUUUUUCUUACUAAUUUAGUGGUAUAAAAUGGGUCGAGUACCUCGUCAGUUCAUGGGCCCAGCUCAUUUUGAUCAUGUUCUGUUGACACAUAAAAAUUCAGCCCAAAUCGAACAGCCCAAGGAAUGAAGCCCAAUUGGAAGAUCCCCAAAUCAGAUAGCUCAAAGAACGAAGCCCAAUCAAACAAAUCAAGAUGAAGGCCCAAAUAAGGAGGCCCAAGAACGCGGUAACGCCAUCGCCCAAGUUUGCAAGUCGCCCAGAAUCUGAGCGAAUGGAGUGUCAUACAGUCGCCCAGAACUGUUACUCUAUUCUCGUCCAAACCUUCAAGUCGCCCAAGGUCUUAACAAACAUAAAGCGUCGUGGUUAUCAAGAAGUGCAGUUAUCAAAGCAAUUAUUGAAGCAGCCCUAUCACGUUCCACGAUUCAAGGAAUUCAAUCGAAAGCGGUUGAACGAUGAAGGAUAAUGGCAGCAGUUAAAAAGCAGUUUUCAUGACAAAGUGGCCAUUACGAAGAAAGUGGGUAGUUAUAGGACGAUCAAGCAGUUUUUAGAGUAGUUGAUCACAAAGAGAUCGUCUAUGAAGUAUAAAAGGGAGAAAGGACAUAGAAGCAAAUGACCGAAUCCAAAACUCUCGAACAAAGAACAUGUAAUUUUCAUUUCUUUAGUUUUUAGAUUUAAACACUUUCCUUUCAAUAACUCGUGUGCUUGCGCCCCUUGGAG